CAGGGAGAGAGGGUCAAGACAUAGGGGUGCUUUCUCGCAGGUGGAGUCAACAGUGAGCUGCCCUGGGACCAUGCAGAAGGAGGGCGCACAGAGCACACGGAGAGGAAGUGUGGGGGCCCAGGGAAGGCCACCCCAACACAUACCAUUUUGACAUAUUGAUUACUUUGAAUUAAAGCAACUGGAGAAACAGUAAAAGCAGAAGGGAUACUCUGAUCCUCCUCUGUCCCUGCCUGAAAUCAGGAAAUAAAUCUACCAUUUGGAAGGUACCAUUCCAGCACCUGGAGGUAAAAAGGCAUCCUUAUCACCGGAGUCAGGGAAUUUAUAGCUAAGAAGGCUGCAAUAAGCAAAUGUUACAUUUUCACCAAUCUACUCAAAUGGUGUAGAGAAUUCCUUCCUAACUGAAGCCCCCAAAUAAGAACCUUGAAGGGUAGAGGAAAAAAUUCUUCCUUGCCAACAGAAGAAACAAGCUAGGAGGGGUUGAGGAGCUUGUCCCGAAUCUCACAGCUUUGGUGGGAAAGAAACCUUUACCCAGGGCGAAGAGGCAGUGGCAUCUGGUGCUGGCCAUUUCCAUGGUGAGGGCAGAAGCUCAAGAAGGGCAGAGCCAAGCCAUGAAGAUGCAUCUGCUUCUGUUUGGAAGUGACAUGUCAGUUGCUUACAUUUCAUUAUUCAAAGGCAGUCUCAUGGCCAGUUUUUACGUCACUGGGACAUGCCAGGAAUCUCAGCAAGCCUGGAGAGGUCACAAAUAAUCACGAAGACAUGGGUGUUAUGUGGUUUGUUUUUGUUUGUUCUUUGGUGAUGUUAGAGUCACUGAAUCAUAAAGGGUACAAAAUGGUGCUGUUCUGAUCCUACCAUCUUUCUAUCUUUUUGAGAUGAGUAUUAUAGAAAGAGAAGCUUAUGCAAGUUUCUCAUUAACUACUUAUUUAGGGUACAAUUUGUAAAGGAAAGGCAAUAUGUAUAUUUGAUGCUUCUGUUUAAUUGCUUACUAUCAAAAUAAAGUUUUUUUCCUACUGUCUUUCAAAGUGACCCAAGAGUGCUUUGAAGUUGGAGAUUUAUCACUGUGAACUCAUGUAUUAACGCAUAUCUGACAUUUCAAUCUGUAGAAGUUACCCUUAUUGAUGUUAUCUUUAUUAAAUGAUCACAUCAUUGACCAACAGGCACCUAUCAAAAUCUGAGUCUUUGACUAUGACCUUCACGUUUUUGCACACUUCCUUUGAUUUCUGAAGAUAAUGGAAUCUCCCACUUUCAAUAUCACCAAAUGCCACUCCCUGUGGCUUCCCGCAAGCAUGCGCUCUCCGCGCCGCCUGUCGUUUUCCUCCAAGCUGGAUCUUCGCUGCCCUUGGUGGCACUCAUCUUUCUUCCACUGCUAGAUAGCCAGAGUCCUGAAAGUCAGGGCUUUAACUCAAAGUGGGAGAAUCCACAAACCGGUCUACCAAAGCAGGGAAAGCGGGAAAAGACAAUCCUAAGAAGCUACAAGCAGACAUUUUGAAGAACCUGAGAAAAGACCCUCCUUCUGAAGACACAAUAUUUGCCCAAAUCUGUGCAGUAGCACAUAGAAACAGAAAUAGCUGCAGACAGGAAAACACACUUGGAUAAAAAAGAAAAAGACUUGAAAAUCCUGAACUGUGAACAAAUACAGGCACAUUCUCUGAAAUUUGACUCAUCUUUUUAAUAAGGAUCUGACUUACUCAGUAUGAAUUUUGGUGGAACGUUGGAUAAUAUGGGGAAAAGAGCAUCUUCAGAUAUUACAAAGGAGAUGUAUUUGAGCUGGGUUGACCACCUUUCUCCUGACUGAUGCCCCCACCAAUAGUUGUUUACAACAAAAAUCCUGGCUUCCCGAGUGUGUGUGCAGAGAACACAAGCUGCAGCGCCCCCCCCUCGCUGGAGUGGUGCCAAAACAAGGCUUAAUUCUGCUUAGAUCUAUCACUUACACCAUUGCUUACUCUGUUAAAAGAGGAAGAAGAAUAAGAUGUGGACCUAUUUGGGUGCCUUUAGGAUUAAACCAAAAGCUCAUCAGCUGCGAAGGGAGCCGAAAGAGAAACCAAACAGGCAAGAAGCAGAAAAACGCAAACAACCUGCAGCCUAUCUUGCCCCUGACCCAGGGCCAGCAUAUGUGCAUGUGGGUUCCUGUGGGAAAAGUGCUGAGAAGCUCAGCUCCAAACUGAAGGAAUCAAAGGCAUGGCAAUUAAAAUGACUGAAGAGUGGAAAAGGCACUCUUGUCUGAAUACAAUAGAAAAAAUCUUUUUUAAUCAUUUCCAUUCCCAGUUUUCUUUCCUCAAGUAGCACCAUGAAGCCAAAUUCAAUUACCUUCCAAGAAAAGACAAGGUAUGUCUGACAGCAGGGAAGACGGUGAAAGCACGGUGUUUAUGCCUGAGCGUGUCAAGGGCUAUCAAGAUGGCCAUGAGAAGAAUGGGGCCUCCCCAAAACUUUGUCGUUAGAGGAAAGCUUUCUCAUCAAUGAACAGCUUGCCAAGCCCAGAUAAGCAGCAUGAAAUGCAGAAGAAAUGCCUCUCUUUGUUUAUUCAGAGAGUUGCUUUUAGUCAUUCAUUUGCUUAUAACUUGGAGGAUGGACAUUGCCAUUCCUGGUCCAUUGACUGUCUGGGAGACGCCUGCCCUCUCAGGGCGAGGUCAGCCCUUUCUUUUGUUAACCGUUGCAGCUUAGGUUACCAAUAUUCUUGCUUGCUGGUAAGCAUUUAUGGUCAUUGCCUGCUAAUGAGGUCAAGGCCAUGAACUAUAAACCUAAUUAGGACAGUUAACUCAGUGGAUUUCAUAGUUACAAACUGGACACCUAACUCCAGAUAGACUUCCUUUAAUUUAAUGUCCACAUUGGGGGCCAGUAUAAGUCCAGCUUCUAGUGAGAAACAAUUCAGAGCAGUGCCAUUUCAGUGUAUAUUUUGGUGCGUGAAUUGCAAACCAUUGUUAUUAUUCAAAGAAUAAACAUUUCUAUUUAUGGGCAGCCCGAUCAACAGUACUUCCAACUCACAAGCUCUUCCUACUGUUUAUAAUGUUUGCCCUCCCUGCUUUUCUGGUAUCUGGCCCCAAAUGGCUUUUGCUGGACACUAAUAUCAAAGGUGCAUCCUCCCAUUAUGCAACAAUCCUCUGAUUUGGGAUGGUCUUUUUAAUAUGGGAUGAAUAUUAUUUAAUGUUGUUGCUUUAUCCUCUUUACAAAAGUCACAUGUAUGCAUUGCAGAAAUAAUAAAAAAUGCAGAAAAGCAUACAUUUAAAAUUAAACCUCCUUUAGUCAAUUUGGGAAGAAUUUUUUAAAGGAACUAUGACUGAAUGAUAAAACAACUUUUAGCAUUUAAGUGGUUUGAUUAAAUUAUGGACAGUCCUCUGAGUAAAUUCCAUACUGUAGAAAUGAUUCAAAACUAUCUCCUCAUGCCAUUGUUUUUACAUCAUUGUUUACUUAAACAUCAUUACGGCUGUUUUCUCUUGCAUAAAUGUCAGUCUCUACUGAGAAAUGCCGUCAGAUGCCUUUCUACAAAUCAUAGUUUUGUAUGUAUUCAUCUUAGGAAAAUUAUUGCCAGGAAAUAUUACUGUCCUUGUAAUAGAAGAACAAGACUAUGAUAAUUCUGGAAAUUAAAUAUCUCCAAAGGAUGUGAGAUAAUUAAGGACAAUAAUGUUUACCACUUGAAAUUAUUGUUAUACAUCUUAAAUUUAAACAGUGCUGUGUGUCAAUUAGAUCUCAAUAAAAUUGGGAGGAAAAAGAUGUACACACCCACAUGUUUACUACUCGAAGAGGUUAAAAAAAUUAGUGAAUUUGAGCUGAUAAAACUGUGUACACCUCACAUCUAGGACCCUUAACUAUUAAACACCUCCACUAAU